CUUGUUAGCCGGUCGCGCCGCAAGGCGCGCUGCGGGAUUCUUCUCUCUGAGCCUUCGGGUGAGGAGGGGGGGGUCUCCACUGGGUGGGCUUGCCUCUAUCGGGGGGUCCCUCGGGGCUCUCCUCUCUUCUAAAGACCCAGUGUGCUCUUAACCGGGCGUGCUGGGGAUUUAGGACUUUUACUUUGAAAAAAUUAGAGUGUUCAAAGCAGGCUUAUUUUCGCUUGAAUACAUUAGCAUGGAAUAAUGAAAUAGGACUUUGGUACUAUUUUGUUGGCUUCUAGGACCGAAGUAAUGAUUAAUAGGGAUAGUUGGGGUGGUUAGUAUUUAAUUGUCAGAGGUGAAAUUCUUGGAUUUAUGAAAGACUAACUUCUGCGAAAGCAUUCCACAAGGAUGUUUUCAUUAAUCAAGAACGAAAGUUAGGGGAUCGAAGAUGAUCAGAUACCGUCGUAGUCUUAACCAUAAACUAUGC
rnacentral:rRNA from 1 species